rnacentral:rRNA from 1 species
UACGGGGGGGGCAAGCGUUGUUCGGAAUUACUGGGCGUAAAGCGCACGUAGGCGGGUCGUUAAGUCAGGGGCGAAAUCCCAGAGCUCAACUCUGGAACUGCCUUUGAUACUGGCGACCUAGAGUUCGGAAGAGGUUAGUGGAAUUCCCAGUGUAGAGGUGAAAUUCGUAGAUAUUGGGAAGAACACCAGUGGCGAAGGCGGCUAACUGGUCCGAUACUGACGCUGAGGUGCGAAAGCGUGGGGAGCAAACAGG